rnacentral:lncRNA from 1 species
CACAGCAAUAGUAAGAUAACUAGGCUGCCACUCUGGACAACUCUAGAGGGCAGAGGCCCAUUGAAUUCUAUAGAAGAAGAAGACCAUUCAAGGACAACAUAUGUGAUGGCCCUCAGGAAUUAGUGUAGAGAACACUUCAGAACAUCAUUAUGGCCAUAAUAUAUGGUAUAUCUGAGAGCCUCCUAAUCCAUUUUGUUGCUAAUUCAAAGUUCUGCCUGGAGAGGAAGUACCAGCCCA